GCUUACAACCAAAGCACCCUGAAUGUGCCCCAUCUCAUCAGAUCUCGGACACGAAGGAGGACUGAGCCUCGUUAGUGCUUGAUGCGUGACUGCCAGGGCAUAACAACAGUUGGAAUAU
rnacentral:rRNA from 1 species